GGGGGAUUUGCAGAGCUGUUGCUGAACAAUAGGUCUCAGGGUAUAAAAGACUUGCUCGGAAGUUACCCCCUUUUAAGCACGUUAAGGGGAGAGACUUGGAUUUUUUGCAUUUGCUUCGCUUUUUCUCUUCUUCCAGACUCUGCUCUAUGGAACUGAAAUCGCACUGUCAAGCUUUUAUUUGGAAAUGAAUACUUCAGAGCUACUCAAUAUUUCUAUCACUAUUGCAGAAAUGGUUUGUUACGCUGACUACAGGCCUGCGCUGAAGCUCACUGAAGUCAAUGGAUGUCUUUCAGCUAACUCUUAACAAGCACUGGGUCAAACUCUAAAAUGCAGCUCUUUCUACUAAAAAAAAACAACAGCAGGACUUUUUCAGAUCAUCAGUAGAGGAGUGUUGUAGGCAGAAGACCAAAUCUGUGUGCAUGCGUGCAUUCUCCCUCAGGGAUGUUCCCUUAGAAUUGCAGACAGCAGAAUAAUAAAUCAAUUAUCUGAUUAAAACAAAAAUAAUUAAUAUGCAAUUAUGACAGAUGUCAGGCCAAUUAAUAUGUAAAUAUUCAUAAACUACCUGACAAAUUGCACAUAUGCAAGAAGAAAUCUUUAAAUAUGAACACCCCACUGUGUUUGUUGAACAUAAGGGCAGGAUGUUUCUAAUUUGGCUCGGGAAAAUAGCAACAUGUAUUUCAAAAUAAUUUUGUUUUCGUUUAUCAAAUACACAUUCCCAAGAGUGAACAAUGAGCUGUGAUCUGUAUAAACAAAUAAAGUCUUUAUGUGUCUCAGCACUCCAAAACUUAAAAUGUUUGCUUAAAAUUGGCAGAACUAAUAUCAAUCCAAGUCAUUCAAGCUAUGAUAACAUUAAAAAGAAUGUAUACUUGUUAAGAAGCUGCAGUUCUUCACCAAGCUAUCAGGUUUAACUAAUUAAUGACUCCUUAAUAAUUAACGUGGGUUAAUUGGUAUAUCCCCAUCAAUCAUUAAUUUUUUGAUUCAUUGGUCACUUUGUCAAUUCAAUGCAUGUUAACCAUCCACAACCAGAUUUACACUUCAGCCACUUUUAAGGUAACCUACACAAAUUAAUUUCUUUUCUGGGUUAAUUAUUAGUUAAUUCCCUUGGUAAUUAUUCACUAGUUUAAUUAUGUUUUACCUUGCAUUCAUUAUCUAGUCUUCAGUUAAUAAUUGUAUAAACUAUUUUCUCUGUUAAUUUUUAACUAGACAUCCCUUAUUAACCAUUAAAUAACCCCAUCACUAGCAUAUAUGUUCCCAGCUUUAGUUUACCCGUGUAUGGAUUUCAUCACCAUGUGGCAGUAAAUCACCCCUGCAUUUGACAACUUUGUUAAAUUUAAUAGGCCAAUGUCUGAGCUGGACUAAAUUGUGUCUCUUUUACUAAGGCCCAACCUGC